rnacentral:rRNA from 1 species
UGGAUCCAGACUUUGAUUCUGGCUCAGGAUGAACGCUGGCGGCGUGCCUAACACAUGCAAGUCGAACGGAGUUCUUGAGGAAUGCGGCUUCGGUCAAAUGACUUUUGAACUUAGUGGCGGACGGGUGAGUAACGCGUGAGCAACCUGCCUUUCAGAGGGGGAUAACAUUUGGAAACAGAUGCUAAUACCGCAUAAGAUUACAGUACCGCAUGAUACAGUGAUCAAAGGAGCAAUCCGCUGAAAGAUGGGCUCGCGUCCGAUUAGAUAGUUGGUGAGGUAACGGCUCACCAAGUCGACGAUCGGUAGCCGGACUGAGAGGUUGAACGGCCACAUUGGGACUGAGACACGGCCCAGACUCCUACGGGAGGCAGCAGUGGGGAAUAUUGCACAAUGGGCGAAAGCCUGACGCAGCAACGCCGCGUGAGGGAAGACGGUUUUCGGAUUGUAAACCUCUGUUUUCGGUGACGAACAAAUGACGGUAACCGAGUAGGAAGCCACGGCUAACUACGCGCCAGCAGCCGCGGUAAUACGUAGGUGGCAAGCGUUAUCCGGAAUUACUGGGUGUAAAGGGAGCGCAGGCGGGAUAGCAAGUCAGCUGUGAAAACUAUGGGCUCAACCCAUAAACUGCAGUUGAAACUGUUAUUCUUGAGUGGAGUAGAGGCAAGCGGAAUUCCGAGUGUAGCGGUGAAAUGCGUAGAUAUUCGGAGGAACACCAGUGGCGAAGGCGGCUUGCUGGGCUCUAACUGACGCUGAGGCUCGAAAGUGUGGGGAGCAAACAGGAUUAGAUACCCUGGUAGUCCAUACUGUAAACGAUGAUUGCUAGGUGUGGGGGGUCUGACCCCCUCCGUGCCGGAGUUAACGCAAUAAGCAAUCCACCUGGGGAGUACGGCCGCAAGGUUGCAACUCAAAGGAAUUGACGGA